rnacentral:rRNA from 1 species
GACGAACGCUGGCGGCGUGCUUAACACAUGCAAGUCGAACGAUGAAGCCUAGCUUGCUAGGUGGAUUAGUGGCGAACGGGUGAGUAAUACGUGAGUGACCUACCUUUGACUCUGGGAUAAGCCUGGGAAACUGGGUCUAAUACCGGAUACGACCAAUCUCCGCAUGGGGUGUUGGUGGAAAGCGUUAUGGAGUGGUUUUAGAUGGGCUCACGGCCUAUCAGCUUGUUGGUGAGGUAAUGGCUUACCAAGGCGACGACGGGUAGCCGGCCUGAGAGGGUGACCGGCCACACUGGGACUGAGACACGGCCCAGACUCCUACGGGAGGCAGCAGUGGGGAAUAUUGCACAAUGGGCGCAAGCCUGAUGCAGCGACGCCGCGUGAGGGAUGACGGCCUUCGGGUUGUAAACCUCUGUUAGCAUCGAAGAAGCGAAAGUGACGGUAGGGCAGAG